rnacentral:rRNA from 1 species
AGAGUUUGAUUAUGGCUCAGAANNNACGCUGGCGGCGUGGAUAAGACAUGCAAGUCGAGCGAAGUAUGAGGGGUAGCAAUAUUCCUUAUACUUAGCGGCGAAAGGGUGCGUAACACGUAGAUCAUCUGCCUCCAAGUGUGGGAUAGCCCGGCGAAAGCCGGAUUAAUACCGCAUGUGGUCGUGAGAUUAAAGCCGGGGACCGUAAGGCCUGGCGCUUGGAGAUGAGUCUGCGGCCUAUCAGCUUGUUGGCGGGGUAACGGCCCACCAAGGCUAAGACGGGUAGCUGGUCUGAGAGGACGACCAGCCACACUGGAACUGAGACACGGUCCAGACACCUACGGGUGGCAGCAGUCGAGGAUUUUUCUCAAUGGGCGAAAGCCUGAAGGAGCGACGCCGCGUGGGGGAUGAAGGUCUUCGGAUUGUAAACCCCUGUCACUUGGGAACAAAUUGGAUGACCUAACACGUCAUCCAUUGAUAGUACCAGGAGAGGAAGCAGUGGCUAACUCUGUGCCAGCAGCCGCGGUAAUACAGAGACUGCAAGCGUUGUUCGGAUUCAUUGGGCGUAAAGGGUGCGUAGGCGGUGAGGUAAGUUGGAUGUGAAAUCUCAGGGCUUAACCCUGAAAGUGCAUCCAAAACUGCCUCGCUCGAGGACUGGAAGGGAGACUGGAAUUCUCGGUGUAGCGGUGAAAUGCGUAGAUAUCGAGAGGAACACCGGUGGCGAAGGCGGGUCUCUGGACAGUUCCUGACGCUGNNNCACGAAAGCCAGGGUAGNAAACGGGA